GAGAUGGAAAUAAAAUCAAAGGACGUUAGGCGAUCAACGCGAAAAACGGGGUUCAAACGGAGAAAGGGAAAUGUUGAGGCAUUUUCUGGAGAGUGGGGUUCAAAUGGAGAUUGGAGUUGAAGAUUAUAUCCAGGAUGAGGUCCUCAGGAUAAUUUUCUGUUCAUGUGUCACCUUACACUUUGGCUGAGGCCAAUGGAGGUCGUUAUGGGUGUCUUCUGAGGAAGAGAUGCACAUGUUACCUUCCUUUUGUGAAGGUGUA
rnacentral:lncRNA from 1 species